rnacentral:lncRNA from 1 species
GUCGGUUUGCCUCGAUCCAAUCCGGUAUGAAUAUAUAUCGGACCAUGCUGCCGACCGAUCGAAACGGCCAUCGAUAUCGGAAUUGAGAACCUUGAUCAUGCCCAUGGUUCUCCCACCCCCCCCAAACCCUAUUAAAAGCCGUGAAAUCUCUAGAAUUCAAGAAAAGAAAUCUUUGAACAGUAACAGAAAAAAAAACAAGAAAAUAAGAAAAAAAAGAAUUCAUUCCAAGCGAUCAAUAGGCAA